rnacentral:lncRNA from 1 species
UGAAUACAUCUAAAUCUCUGUAUAUGAAUUGAUUGACAAUCAUGUAUUAUACAGUGGUAAUUUAAUCGAUUAGAGGCCCAGACUCAACACGCAUCAGAUUGAAUAUAUCAGUAACUUAGUGCCUCCCACGGAAACAGCUAGGUAGCUUGGCCCCAUAUGUGUGUGUAUAUACAAUUUUCAUCUCACCUAUGAGAUACACGAUGGUUGAAGGUAAAAAGGGGAUGUAGGAAGGCAGUGGUUGGAAAAAAUGUUGGGUUGUUCCAACAUUGUUUGUGUAUAUGAAUUGGAGUUGAAGAAGGGGGCAGGGGAGGUCGAAUUGGAUGUCUGGUGGUUGUAGCCGUGGCUGGUGGUCGUGGCCGUGAUUAGACGAGAGGGAAGAAAGAGAGGUUUCGUGAGGCUGACUAAUGAAGUAGGGACAUGGUCGGAGUGUCUGGCAGCGGCAUAGUGACAUGAUCGGAGCAUGUGACAGCGGCCCAACAUGAUUGAACGGAAAAAAAAGAAAAGGAAGGAGGGUGUGGAGAGGAAUAGACCAAAAUACCCUUUGAUUUUAUGUUUUUUUAAUGAAGUUAACGGCUGACAUUAACGUUUCUAAGGGCAGCCAAUAAAUUAAAAAGCGGAG